AGCCUUCCCGCACCCCGCAGCCCCACUCGGGCCGUCGAAGGCGAGGCCUGCAGGAAGCUGCGACGGGCGGGGAGGCCUGUCGCCAGCCUCAGCCCCGGAGAUCGCCGCCUGGGAAAGCCGAGGGAGACCCAGACUGGUUCAUAUACUGAAGGCAACAUUGCAGACAAAGGGGCGUGCCCUGACAUCUUCAGCUCCACUGGUAGAUUGGAAACAUUAGAGAGAGAAGUACAAAGCUGCAAUUUCCAUAGUUCAAACUGCAUGGAAGAAUGCAAAUUCAGAGUGCUGAAGAGAAGCCCAAAUCUCCAGACAUUAGAAAAAUGAGACUUCCCGUGCCUCAGUCCAACAUAUCAUGCUGGGUUGAUGAAGAACAGGACCAGCAUUUGAAGGAAGGUUACUGAUGGAUAUGCAAAUUAAAUUAGGAACACAUUCAAGAGAUUAAAGAGGGACAAGCAAUGGAAAAGAGAGCAGAUGGACCAGCAAACAUUAAGUCAAGAAUCUCAGUUGUCGGUACAUACUUUGGUUGCUUUCAAAAGUGAUGCUUAAAUCAAUUUUUUGUACUUUCCACACUUGCAAAUUGCAAAUAAAAUCCUUCUUUAGACAGAA